rnacentral:precursor_RNA from 14 species
UGACAGCAAGUAGUCGGGCAUAUUACUUGGUAGUACUGGCAUAUGGACAUUGGUGAUUUAACUCAAUGUUCAUAUUUCAGUAUUUCCAAGUGAGAUGCAUUUUGCAGUCGAAGUCAU